AUAUUAAUAAGCGGAGGAAAAGAAACUAACAAGGAUUCCCCUAGUAACGGCGAGUGAAGCGGGAAAAGCUCAAAUUUGAAAUCUCUCAUGGAAACAUGAGCGAAUUGUAGUUUAGAGAAGCGCUUUCUGAAAUGGGAUGGGAUCGAAGUUCUUUGGAACGAGACAUCAAAGAGGGUGAGAAUCCCGUAUUUGGUACCAUUCCUGUUUCUAUACGGGGCGUUUUCGAAGAGUCGGGUUGUUUGGGAAUGCAGCCCAAAAUGGGUGGUAAAUUUCAUCUAAAGCUAAAUAUUGGCACGAGACCGAUAGCGCACAAGUA
rnacentral:rRNA from 1 species